CGGGACACGUGGUAUCCUGUCUGAAUAUGGGGGGACCAUCCUCCAAGGCUAAAUACUCCUGACUGACCGAUAGUGAACCAGUACCGUGAGGGAAAGGCGAAAAGAACCCCGGCGAGGGGAGUGAAAAAGAACCUGAAACCGUGUACGUACAAGCAGUGGGAGCACGCUUAGGCGUGUGACUGCGUACCUUUUGUAUAAUGGGUCAGCGACUUAUAUUCUGUAGCAAGGUUAACCGAAUAGGGGAGCCGAAGGGAAACCGAGUCUUAACUGGGCGUUAAGUUGCAGGGUAUAGACCCGAAACCCGGUGAUCUAGCCAUGGGCAGGUUGAAGGUUGGGUAACACUAACUGGAGGACCGAACCGACUAAUGUUGAAAAAUUAGCGGAUGACUUGUGGCUGGGGGUGAAAGGCCAAUCAAACCGGGAGAUAGCUGGUUCUCCCCGAAAGCUAUUUAGGUAGCGCCUCGUGAAUUCAUCUCCGGGGGUAGAGCACUGUUUCGGCAAGGGGGUCAUCCCGACUUACCAACCCGAUGCAAACUGCGAAUACCGGAGAAUGUUAUCACGGGAGACACACGGCGGGUGCUAACGUCCGUCGUGAAGAGGGAAACAACCCAGACCGCCAGCUAAGGUCCCAAAGUCAUGGUUAAGUGGGAAACGAUGUGGGAAGGCCCAGACAGCCAGGAUGUUGGCUUAGAAGCAGCCAUCAUUUAAAGAAAGCGUAAUAGCUCACUGGUCGAGUCGGCCUGCGCGGAAGAUGUAACGGGGCUAAA
rnacentral:rRNA from 1 species